UGAAGUAAGUAAGGGCGUACGGUGAAUGCCUUGGUGCCAACAGGCGAAGAAGGACGCGGCAAGCUGCGAAAAGCCUCGGGAAGCUGCAAGCAAGCGAUGAUCCGGGGAUAUCCGAAUGGGGUAACCUGAUCGAGGCAAUACUCGAUCGUUCAUACCUGAAUACAUAGGGUAUGAAACGCGAAACCCGCUGAAGUGAAACAUCUCAGUAAGCGGAGGAAAAGAAAGAGAAAUCGAUUCCGUAAGUAGUGGCGAGCGAAAGCGGAUGGAGCCCAAACCGAAGGUAUUCCUUCGGGGUUGUAGGACCACGUCAUAUUCGACCAUACUGGAUAGUAGAACAGCCUGGAAAGGCUGGCCGGAGAAGGUGAAAGCCCUGUAGACGAAAUCCAGAGUGGGAAUUAGUGGUAUCCUGAGUAAUACAUCACACGUGGAACGAUGUAUGAACCCGCGCGGACCACCGCGCAAGGCUAAAUACUAGUUGGCGACCGAUAGUGAACAAGUACCGCGAGGGAAAGGUGAAAAGAACCGCUGUGAGCGGAGUGAAAUAGAACCUGAAACCGUAUGUCUACAAAGUGUCAGAGCAGAGCAAUCUGCGAUGGCGUGCCUUUUGUUUAAUGAGUCUGCGAGUCAGUGUUUGUGGCAAGACUAAGGGCUUCCGGCCCGGAGUCGCAGCGAAAGCAAGUCCGAACAGGGCGCAAUAAGUCGCAGGUACUGGACCCGAAGCGGAGGUGACCUACCCUUGGCCAGGUUGAAGCAUGGGUAAAACCAUGUGGAGGACCGAACAGGUGAACGUUGAAAAGUUCUCUGAUGAGCUGAGGGUAGGAGUGAAAGGCUAAUCAAACCCCGUGAUAGCUGGUUCUCUUCGAAAUGCAUUUAGGUGCAGCGUCACGUGCUGAUGCGCGGGGGUAGAGCACUGACAAGGCUAGGGGGCACACCCGCUUACCAAACCUUAUCAAACUCCGAAUACCGUGCAAUGGAACGUGGCAGUGAGACAGUGGGGGAUAAGCUUCAUUGUCGAGAGGGAAACAACCCAGACCAGCAGCUAAGGUGCCUAAAUAACGCUCAGUGGAAAGGAUGUGGGAUUACACAGACAGUGAGGAUGUUGGCUUAGAAGCAGCCACCAUUUAAAAAAUGCGUAAUAGCUUACUCAUCGAGUGAUCCUGCGCCGAAAAUGAUUGGCGAUCAAGCGUUAUACCGAAGCUCUGGACUUUGCCGCAAGGCAGAGUGGUAGAAGAGCGUUGCAUGCGCGUCGAAGGGCGAUGGCGACUGACCCUGGAGCACAUGCAAGUGAGUAUGCAGACAUGAGUAACGUUAAGCCGGGUGAAAUCCCCGGCCGCCGUAAACCCGAGGUUUCCAGGGCAACGUGUUUCGUCCCUGGGUUAGCCGGGACCUAAGCCGAGGCCGAGAGGCGUAGGCGAUGGACAUCAGGUUAAUAAUCCUGAGCUCGCAACCCUUAAACUGGGGGGACGCAUGAGAAAAGAUGACUAGGUUAUUGAAUUCCGAGUUGAGUCUACGGACUCAGCGCAUCAUUGGAUCGAGUGCCAAGAAAAGCCCCAGCGUAUGCUAAGCGACCCGUACCGCAAACCGACACAGGUGGGUGGGUAGAAUAUACCAAGGCGUAAGAGUGAAACCUGGUUAAGGAACUCGGCAAAUUAGCCCCGUAACUUCGGAAGAAGGGGUGCCUGCAGCGAUGCAGGCCGCAGAGAAAUGGCCCAACCGACUGUUUAUCAAAAACACAGCACUCUGCAAAGACGCAAGUCGAAGUAUAGGGUGUGACACGUGACCAAUGCCGAAAGAUUAAGGCAAGGGGUUAGCCGCAAGGCGAAGCUCUAAACCCAAGUCCCGGUGAAUGUCGGCCGUAACUAUAACGGUCCUAAGGUAGCGAAAUUCCUUGUCGGGUAAGUUCCGACCUGCACGAAUCGUGAAACGAGUUGGGCACUGUCUCAACCAGGCGCUCAGUGAAAUUGUAGUGGCGGUGAAGAUGCCGCCUACCCGCAGAAGGACGGAAAGACCCUAUAGACCUUAACUGUAAGCUGUCAUUGUUUCUUCGGUUUUAAUGCUCAGAGUAAGUGGGAGACGCUGAAGACGCCCUUUAGGGGGCGUCCGAGUCAUCAAUGAGACACCACCCUUUGAAACUGGAGGAUCUAACCCUGAGCCGUGAAUCCGGCCAGAGGACCGUGUCAGCCGGUCAGUUUUACUGGGGCGGUAUCCUCCCAAAGAGUAACGGAGGAGCGCGAAGGUGGGCUCAGCCCGGUUGGCAACCGGGUGUCGAGUGCAUGGGCAUAAGCCCGCCUAACUGUGAGACCAACAAGUCGAGCAGAUGCGAAAGCAGGCCCAAGUGAUCCGGCGGUAGAAAGUGGAAUUGCCGUCGCUCAACGGAUAAAAGGUACCUUAGGGAUAACAGGCUGAUCACGCCCAAGAGUUCAUAUCGACGGCGUGGUUUGGCACCUCGAUG
rnacentral:rRNA from 1 species